GCGCGAAACCUCCGCAAUGCGAGAAAUCGCGACGGGGGACCCCAAGUGCCACUCUUAACGGGUGGCUUUCUUAAGUGUAAAAGCUUUUGGAAUAAGGGCUGGGCAAGACCGGUGCCAGCCGCCGCGGUAACACCGGCAGCCCAAGUGGUGGCCAUUUUAUUGGGCCUAAAGCGUUCGUAGCCGGCCUGAUAAGUCUCUGGUGAAAUCCCACAGCUUAACUGUGGGAAUUGCUGGAGAUACUAUCAGGCUUGAGGUCGGGAGAGGUUAGAGGUACUCCCAGGGUAGGGGUGAAACCCGUAUAAUCCUGGGAGGACCACCUGUGGCGAAGGCGUCUAACUGGAACGAACCUGACGGUGAGUAACGAAAGCCAGGGGCGCGAACCGGAUUAGAAACCCUAGU
rnacentral:rRNA from 1 species